rnacentral:tRNA from 1 species
GGGGAAAUGGCUCAGCAGUUAAGAGCACUGGCUGCUCUUCCAGAGGACCUGGGUUCAAUUCCCAGCAACCACA